AUGGUACUUCAUUCUGUUAUUCUGCUAUUUGGAUUUGCAUGUACUGUGUAUGGAAAUGAAAUUAGACCAAUUAAAACUGAGGAGUUUGCUGAUGAGGGUUCUAGUGUUACAUUAUCCUGCAGUUAUGCAUCUGCACUGUCUUUAUUCUGGUACCGUCAGUAUCCCGGAUCAGCUCCUGAAUUCCUUGUAACCCUCACAUAUCGUGCAACUGAAGCUAAGAAGUCUGAUGUAGAUCCCAGAUUCACUGCUAAACCCAACAAAGAAAAGCAAAACCAUGUGGAUCUGGAGAUCUCCUCUGCAUCUUUAUCAGACUCUGCUCUGUACUACUGUGCCAUGGAGCCCACAGAGACAGGAAACACAUGAACACUGUACAAAAACCUGACACAUCUGAGAAGAAAAAUCUAUU